UUUCGUUCAAGCUAGUCGAACUUGAUUGAAACCUGUCUUCAAAAGCUAGCGAUGUAUGUCACCUCUGGGUAGGAUCGGGAAGAAAGCCUAUCUACGAAAGAGGGUGCGCUAAAAAGAAAGGAAUGCAAUUAGAGUGUCAAGGAAUUGUGUUUGGCCUUUCAUGCUUCGUACCGCAUAUAUUUUUUUUCCACCAAAUUUACUUCUUAAAUGACCACCUUUCUAGAUAGUUGAAAUGGGUGCAUGACUUGGUUGGCACCC
rnacentral:lncRNA from 1 species